UACAGAGGGGGCAAGCGUUUAUUCGGAAUUAUUGGGCGUAAAGGGCGCGUAGGCGGCUUGGCAAGUGGAUGGUGAAAUCCCUCGGCUUAACCGAGGAACUGCCAUCCAGACUGCUUUUGCUUAGGCCGGGGAGAGGUGAGUGGAAUUCCCAGUGUAGCGGUGAAAUGCGUAGAUAUUGGGAGGAACACCAGUGGCGAAGGCGGCUCACUGGACCGGUUCUGACGCUGAGGCGCGAAAGCGUGGGGAGCAAACGGG
rnacentral:rRNA from 1 species